rnacentral:rRNA from 2 species
GGAUGCGAUCAUACCAGCACUAAAGCACCGGAUCCCAUCACAACUCCGAAGUUAAGCGUGCUUGGGCGAGAGUAGUACUAGGAUGGGUGACCUCCUGGGAAGUCCUCGUGUUGCAUUCC